UCCUCCCUUCCAUGGUAUUUGUCCUUGCUAAUGAUGGCAACCCCUUUCACUGUUGACUGGCCACAGGGAACUACUUGUCCCCAGAGAAUUUUGCCCUUCAUGUUUCUCUACCUUGAACUCAUCAGCUAGCAUGCCAGUGCAUUGUGGAAGCAAGCAAGCAUGGAAGGAAAGAAGGAAUGGUCCUUUUUGCUGGCAACACCACAAAGGUGGGUUUCCCAGCUAUUAUCGGACACAACAGGAGGAAAAAAUGUUUCAAGAUUUUUUUACUUAUGAAAGAAGAUCUUCCCUACAGCCUGCUCCCUUUUCAAGAGAGGAGGCAAGUAGAAGAAAUGAAGAAACAUCCCAGUUGUUGCUUGUGGCUUCUAACAAGUGUCUGGGUGUCUGCAUAGGAAUACAGAGACUGCAUAUGCAACUUCUUCACAAGCAGUUUUCAAACAUUUUAAAGCCAGAGCAAUGUCAUUCUUUUCUUCAAAGUCAC